rnacentral:rRNA from 1 species
GCUGCAGUUAAGCUCGUAGUUGGAUUUCGGGUGGGGCCUGCCGGUCCGCCGUUUCGGUGUGCACUGGCAGGGCCCACCUUGUUGCCGGGGACGGGCUCCUGGGCUUCACUGUCCGGGACUCGGAGUCGGCGCUGUUACUUUGAGUAAAUUAGAGUGUUCAAAGCAGGCCUACGCUCUGAAUACAUUAGCAUGGAAUAACACGAUAGGACUCUGGCCUAUCCUGUUGGUCUGUAGGACCGGAGUAAUGAUUAAGAGGGACAGUCGGGGGCAUUCGUAUUUCAUUGUCAGAGGUGAAAUUCUUGGAUUUAUGAAAGACGAACUACUGCGAAAGCAUUUGCCAAGGAUGUUUUCAUUAAUCAAGAACGAAGUUGGGGGGC